AGAGUUUGAUCCUGGCUCAGAUUGAACGCUGGCGGCAUGCCUAACACAUGCAAGUCGCACGCGAAAGGGGGCAACCCUGAGUAGAGUGGCGGACGGGUGAGUAACGCGUAGGAAUCUACCUGGUAGUGGGGGACAACCCGGCGAAAGCCGGGCUAAUACCGCAUACGAUCCACGGAUGAAAGCAGGGGACCGCAAGGCCUUGCGCUAUCAGAUGAGCCUGCGUCGGAUUAGCUAGUUGGUGAGGUAAAGGCUCACCAAGGCGACGAUCCGUAGCUGGUUUGAGAGAACGACCAGCCACACUGGGACUGAGACACGGCCCAGACUCCUACGGGAGGCAGCAGUGGGGAAUAUUGGACAAUGGGGGCAACCCUGAUCCAGCAAUGCCGCGUGUGUGAAGAAGGCCUUCGGGUUGUAAAG
rnacentral:rRNA from 1 species